rnacentral:sRNA from 1 species
CCAUAGCCCUGAUGGGAACGGCAUCCUUUUUUUUGGUUUGGAAAAGCUUAGGCAAAAAAAGAUAUAGUGGACAGCAGGUUCCCGG